GACGAACGCUGGCGGCGUGCUUAACACAUGCAAGUCGAACGGAAAGGCCUGCUUUCCCUUGUGGAUUGCGGGUGCUCGAGUGGCGAACGGGUGAGUAACACGUGAGUGAUCUGCCCCCAACUUGGGUAUAAGCCUGGGAAACUGGGUCUAAUUCCCGAUAGGACUGCAGGGUGGUGCCUGUGGUGGAAAACGAUUUUCUAGUGGUUGGGGAUGAGCUCGCGGCCUAUCAGCUUGUUGGUGGGGUAAUGGCCUACCAAGGCGGCGACGGGUAGCCGGCCUGAGAGGGUGGACGGCCACAUUGGGACUGAGAUACGGCCCAGACUCCUACGGGAGGCAGCAGUGGGGAAUAUUGCACAAUGGGCGGAAGCCUGAUGAAGCGACGCCGCGUGGGGGAUGACGGCCUUCGGGUUGUAAACUCCUUUCGACCGCGAGGAAGCCACCUGGUUGGAAGGGUGGUGACGGUAGUGGUAGAAGAAGCACCGGCUAACUACGUG
rnacentral:rRNA from 1 species